UAGUAUAUCAAAUUUCUUUGAAACCUGGUCCACAAAAAAUAUAACGAAUAGUGCUCCCUUGUCUUGUAGAGUUGUGGUGCUGCUGCCACUGGAGCACAACCAAAAAAGUUUGGACUCCUUAUAGUGGGUUACGCAAUUGACAUGUACUGUGCCACAAAGAUUUUUAAGUAAAAAGAUUGAUUCACGCACUAUGUAAUAAAAAGGAGAAUUUCUGCCGUGAACAGUGACAUACUAGAAG
rnacentral:lncRNA from 1 species